rnacentral:lncRNA from 1 species
CUUAAACUUUGUGAUUUUUGCCCUUUGGGCAGAUGGUUUUGUGUUACUGAGUGAACUCUGUGGAAUAGGAAAUAAGGCUUGACGCCUUGUUGGUGAUACUUUCACUUAACACCCCUCCUUUUUUUGGUAGGUGUCAAAAUAGGAGAGCAAUAGGACAUUAUAACAUAGAAAUUAAUUGACAUGCUUUAAUAAUUUAAAUAUUAGUUGCUGAGGGGCUGCUUGUUCAUAUGUCUUUUGCUUAACCAGUUGUUAUUUUUUCACC